rnacentral:tRNA from 1 species
UCAUAGUGUAGUGGUUAACACUUUUGCUUGGCAAGUAAGUUUGCUGGUUUGAUUCCAGUCUGA